AGAAGCUGAGCGAGCAAAGCGCUCUCUCUCCAAUCAGCACCAGGUCCGUGUUGAGAUAGAAUCUCUUCAUGAUGGGCUCGAUUUUUCGGAACCGCUGACUCGCGCUCGCUUCGAAGAAUUAAACAACGACCUGUUCCGGAAAACGAUGGGACCCGUCAAAAAAGCCAUGGAGGAUGCAGGAAUGAAAAAGUCACAGAUCGAUGAAAUUGUCCUUGUCGGCGGGUCAACUCGAAUUCCUAAAGUUCAAGCGCUACUAAGAGAAUAUUUUGACGGUAAAGAACCAAACAAGGGAGUCAACCCCGACGAAGCAGUUGCAUAUGGCGCAGCUGUGCAAGGAGGAAUCCUCUCUGGGGAAGGUGGAGAUGAAACAAAAGACAUCUUGCUUCUUGAUGUUGCUCCCCUCACUCAGGGAAUCGAAACCGUCGGAGGAGUUAUGACAAAGCUGAUUCCUAGGAACACUGUGAUCCCGACCAAAAAAUCACAGACAUUUACCACUUACCAAGACAAUCAACAGACUGUGAUGAUUCAAGUGUUCGAGGGGGAGCGAGCCAUGACGAAAGACAAUCAUCUACUCGGAAAGUUCGAGCUCACGUCCAUUCCCCCUGCUCCGCGCGGUGUUCCUCAAAUCGAGGUAACUUUUGAAAUUG
rnacentral:lncRNA from 1 species